AGCAUGUUUUUGCGGCACAGUCGAUAGCGCGCCGGACUUCGGGCUUGAAGGUCGAGGGUUCGAGACCUGCUCCCUGCCUGUUUCUUUACACUGGUGUCAGAAGGGAUCGGACCUUGCAUCCACGACAGUGCGUGUGCUUGGCCGGUUGAGCACGUUCCUGCUGUUUCAUUACACUAUUAUAUUAAUCUGACUAUUACUGUGUGCACGUAACCGACGAUUACUCAUUCCUGUUUCUGUUUUUGCGGAGACUGGAUCCACUUAAAAACUCUGCAUAUGUCGAUUUAAUCGGAAUUUACCUUUUAUAUUUCAAAUGCGCUAUAGCGCUGUAGAGAAAAAGGCUUAUUUUUUUUGUGGAAAGAGCCACGUUUUUUUUCCCCCUGCAUUCCGAUGUUGUGAGAGUUCUGUGCUGGCUGGGUGUGUACCAGAUGACUCACCAGCCAGGUGAGAGAUAUACCAUUACUCCGCACCAGAGCCGAGGUAGAACAGCUGACUGACUAUGGAAGAAGAGCAGCAGAACCCGAUCCUGAAAGAGGGAUUCCUUGUGAAACGGGGUCAUGUAGUUCACAACUGGAAGGCUCGCUGGUUUGUACUCAAGCCAGACAAGUUGCUCUACUAUAAAUAUGAUGGAGGGAAGAGAGACUCCUGUCAACGCGGGAGGAUCAUGUUGACCGAUUGUAAAAUCUCUUGUCCGUUUCUGGAGUAUGACAACCGCCCGCUGGUGUUCAAACUGCAAACCAAGAGUUCUGCCGAGUACUUCCUGGAGGCGUGUUCUCGGGAGGAGCGUGACCAAUGGGCAGCGGAUAUCGGUGCAGCGGUGGAGAAGCUCCGCCCGGCUGACUCUCCUACCCCCAGCCAGUCUAAAACCACUGGACACCAGUCACUACAACUACACAACGUCAGCCUGAACCAGGUGGUGGACUCCAUGUAUGACGUCCACAGUGGCAUCAAGCUGACCAGCCACAACGAGCAGGGAAACUCCUACAGCAACUGCUUCUCAGGUUCUGCGGUGGUGGACUGGCUGGUGUUCAAUCAGCUGGCUCUGACCCGUGUAGAGGCUGUGACUCUGUCCUCGGCCGUCCUAGAGGAAGGUUUCCUACGCCCCGUAGGUCUGAGGAGCGUUGAGGCUCAACGCAGCCAUGGGCUCAGUGAGCAGUUCCUGGAUGACUCCACUGCUCUCUACAGCUUUUCAGAGAACUUUAAGAAAAGAGGGAGUGUGAAGGCUGAGACUUCCCUAUCAGCCAUGGAACUAAGUGGGAAAGUCCUGAAAAGAGGCUAUCUACUGAAACAGGGACACAAAAGAAAGAACUGGAAGGUUCGACUGUUUGUGCUGCGAUCAGAGCCAGGUUACCUUCACUACUAUGACCCCAGUAAGGUGAGUGACGAUUGGUUACCUUCACUACUAUGACCCCAGUAAGGUGAGUGACGAUUGGUUACCUUCACUACUAUGACCCCAGUAAGGUGAGUGACGAUUGGUUACCUUCACUACUAUGACCCCAGUAAGGUGAGUGACGAUUGGUUACCUUCACUACUGUGACCCCAGUAAGGUGAGUGACGAUUGGUUACCUUCACUACUAUGACCCCAGUAAGGUGAGUGACGAUUGGUUACCUUCACUACUAUGACCCCAGUAAGGACGACAUCAGUCCCGUGGGCGGGUUCUCUCUCCGAGGCUGUCUGGUCUCUGCUCUGGACGACAACGGUGUUCCUUCAGGUGUGAAGGGUAAAGUCCAAGGUAACCUGUUGAAGAUCAUCACACAGUUUGAUACUCACUACUACAUCCAGGCUCCCAGCAGACAGGAGAAGAUGGACUGGAUAGAAGCUAUCAGAGGACAGAGUUAAAUAAAGUCAAGUUUAUUACUUUAACGUAGUGUUUUAGGUCAGGCUGUUAUCGAUACAUCCAAUCCAUACCGUUUUUAUUUUUUAUUUUUUUUACUAUACAAAUCUUCUAGCGUAUAAGAUUCCAAGAAAGUAUACAUUCCAUGAAUGUAACCGUGCAAAGUUAACCGUUUGGAAUAAUGGUUUUAAACAUGUAAAUAGAUCAUUCAACAUGGUGCUGUUUUGAAUAUUAAAUAAAGCUUUUCGCCCAUGUGAGAAGGCC